GACGAACGCUGGCGGCGUGCUUAACACAUGCAAGUCGAACGAAGAGCGAUGGAAGCUUGCUUCUAUCAAUCUUAGUGGCGAACGGGUGAGUAACGCGUAAUCAACCUGCCCUUCAGAGGGGGACAACAGUUGGAAACGACUGCUAAUACCGCAUACGAUCUAAUCUCGGCAUCGAGGAUAGAUGAAAGGUGGCCUCUACAUGUAAGCUAUCACUGAAGGAGGGGAUUGCGUCUGAUUAGCUAGUUGGAGGGGUAACGGCCCACCAAGGCGAUGAUCAGUAGCCGGUCUGAGAGGAUGAACGGCCACAUUGGGACUGAGACACGGCCCAGACUCCUACGGGAGGCAGCAGUGGGGAAUCUUCCGCAAUGGACGAAAGUCUGACGGAGCAACGCCGCGUGAGUGAUGACGGCCUUCGGGUUGUAAAGCUCUGUUAAUCGGGACGAAAGGCCUUCUUGCGAAUAGUGAGAAGGAUUGACGGUACCGGAAUAGAAAGCCAUGGCUAACUACGUG
rnacentral:rRNA from 1 species